rnacentral:piRNA from 1 species
GGAGUAACUGGAUUUAGCAAGGACCU